UUUCCGUAGGUGAACCUGCGGAAGGAUCAUUAAUGAAUCAACAAGGGUGCUUUCGAGACCCGACUUUCAUUAUUUACCCUGUGCACCAAACUUUUUUUUCAUAAACACGAAAAAGUAAUGAAUGUAAAAUAGCUUGUUUCAAGCAAUAAACAAAUAAAACUUUCAGCAACGGAUCUCUUGGCUCUCGCAUCGAUGAAGAACGCAGC
rnacentral:misc_RNA from 1 species